rnacentral:tRNA from 1 species
GGGAGACCCACAAGGUUUAAUAUUAUAAUUUUGUCAUCUAAAGUCGAUCGGGAUCUCACGGUAUUAUUUUGUUAAAAAUUUCAUUUCCUAUGUUUUUCUAGGACACACCCAUUAUUUUUCCUGGGCCAUUAACUCAGGUGGAUAGAGCGCACCCCUGAUAAGGGAGAGGUCCCUGGUUCAAGUCCAGGAUGGCCCAUAUUCUCUAUGGUGGGGGUAUAACUCAAUUGAUAGAGCGCCUGCUUUGCAAGCAGGAUGGCAGCGGUUCGAGACCGCUUACCUCCACUGAUUACCACCUCUUCCAUAACUGGUANAAAGGAAAUGUUUUGAGUUGUGAUUAUUAUUCUGAACUAAUCUAGCUUCCUAAUGAAAUCAUUAAGAUGCUGGACUCAUUGAAUUAAUUUCAUUGUUUUCAGAGAACCUUGACAACUGCAUAGAUUUUUUUAAAGACAAUAAGCAUCUUUAAUGAUGCAGAUUUAUUAUUUGUGCGAAUGCAUUAAUAACAAUUCUAUUAAGCUGAUGCUUCAAUUUUUGAAGUUAUU